rnacentral:lncRNA from 1 species
AAGCAGAUGGCAGUUGAAGGGUUUAAAGCACAAAGUGAGAUGGUGAUUGACAGUCUUGAUCGGCUUAUCACUGCAUGGGAGGAACGAAGAGAAUCAGUUAUUGUCGAAGGUGUUCACCUGAGUCUUAAUUUUGUGGUAUGUACAAUCUAUAGUUCUCUUUCCCUUUGUUGUUGCCUUGUUUAAAUAUAUUCUUGUUCUUUUAUGCUUGUUAUCUCUCCCUUUCUAAAUAAUUCUUUGAAUCCCAGAUGGGGCUUAUGAAGAAACACCCUUCUAUCAUUCCAUUCAUGAUAUACAUCACAAAUGAGGACAAGCACAUGGAACGAUUUGCCGUUCGUGCAAAGUAUAUGACGCUGGACCCAGCAAAGAACAAAUAUGUGAAAUAUAUCCGAAACAUCAGAACAAUCCAAGAAUAUCUCUGCAAGCGAGCUGACAAGCACCUUGUCCCCAAAAUUAACAAUACUAAUGUUGACAAGAGUGUGGCAGCCAUCCAUGCAACCGUCUUCAGUUGCCUGCGUAGGCGUGAAGCAGGGGAGCAACUUUAUGAUCCCCCAAGAAACACAGUUACUGUAGUGGAUGAGGAGUACAGGAACCAGUGUGCAGCCAAUUCUUUGAGUUCUAAGGGGAUGUUUCAGCUGAUCCAGAGGAAAGGUUCAACUAGGCAUCUGAUGGCUCUUGUAAAUACUGAUGGAUCUGUGGCAAAGGCAUGGCCUGUUGAUUCAGUUGAUCGGAAUGGGAAGCCUAUAUUUUGCCAUGGGACUGACUUGGAGAUUGGCACCGCAGAGCAAGUAAAUCUUCAGUUUGGUCUCUAUGGGAUCAGUGCUUGGCCCAGUGAUGGUGGCCCGAGUUGUGCUGGAAGUGUGGAUGAGUCGAGGGCUGAUGGAACUGAGAUUGGAAGAAGUCAUCCCUCUUCUUGCUGCAGCUCGCCACGGAUAUCUGAGGGGCCUGCCAAAGAGGUACUUUUGAACACCAAUUUUAAUUGUUCCGUAGGAAAAAACUCUUACCUAUCAUUUUUUCCUUAACUGUUCAAUUUACUGUUUUUCUUCUUGAAAAUUUUUUUUUUUUGUUUUCUUUUCCUUCAGCUGAAGGAAGAAAAUUCAGUGCAUGGAAGUGAUGAAGAGGUUGAUGAAGAGGCUGAUGCAGGCAGUGAUGAGGAAUUAAGUGAUGAUGUUGACAAACAGGACUAUGAAGAGGUAUUAAUUGCUUUUGUUUUAGAUUAUUAUUAGUUUACACUGGAACCCGAAGAGAUUAGGACAACUUCUUGAAUUUUAUCAGCUUUUUGUAUCUGAUAACUCUGCUUGCCCCAGAAAUAUAUUAGGAUCAUAUAAAUAUUUAUACACACACGUGUAUAUAUAUAUAUAUGUUAUAUACAGAGAAUAUAAAUUAAAUGAAUGACAGACAGCUUAAAAUGAGUGGAUAAUUGGUCUGACCCAGGCUAAUAGAUUUGUGAACUUUGGAUCUUUACACUGUUAUAAUCCUGGUCACAUCAGAUGAGAGUCUGAACUCUACUUUUACGUCAAUUAAUCGUUUACUUUAAACUUCAUACUAUCUUGCAGAUAGGGUCAGUGGAUGAGGAGUCUACAAAAUCGGAUGAAGAGUACGAUGACCUCGCAAUGCAGGACGUGCAGGGAAAUGGAUACUGGUCAGGAGAGGAGAAGAGAGGGGACAAUCCUAAGAUCUUCCCCAUUUCCGAUGAUCAAUCAGCCGAUAAAGAAGGGGAUAAGUAUCGCCAGAACCUGGAUCUUUUCCUUAGAACUAGACACCAAUCAUUUUCUGAACCAUUGUGCUCAUACUCAUCUUUGUUCUUGGAGAAGAAUGAGAUGACAAUGCCGUGCUCUGGCAAUGUGAAAAUUAGAAAACGACGUUCCCUUAGCAUUCCAGCCUUGGGAAGGCGUGGGUCAAUAAUCAGGGGUCCCAUACUUUCUGGAGCCCCUAAGUGCUAGGACAACUAUUUUGUUGAAGCUUUAGUGUUCUCAUAUCCUUGCCUUUUUCUCCCUUAUCUAUGUUUAGCCUCCUUUUGUAGAGUAAUUAGGUAACUUAAAAUCUUCCUCAUUUGUACAGUAAUGCUUUUAGGCAGUUGCAGUGGAAUGGAUCUAAAAUGUAUUUUUGUUUGGUACUGUUAGCUUUGUUAGAAUGAGAACAUGAUUUUAGGGUAGUUUUGAAUAUGGGGUGCAUUCUAACAUGAUUUAAUAGUUGUAUGCUAGCGCUAUCUAUGGUUGGGUAACCAACCUGCUUUUCAUUAUUCUUUCUAACAGGGAUGGAAUCGGUUGUUUUUUCAAUCUCUGUUCAAGAUGUAUUGGCCCACUAUUCACCAAGUUGCUGAGGCCAGCAAGGGGAGGAGUUGCAUCUGGCUGAGAAUGGGCAUAUAGAGAUCCGGCAAACAAUAACACAAUCCGGCUUCGGUAGCGAAAGUGCUUCUACACUCUUUCAGUAGAAGAUAGGAAGAUAGUUUUGGCUUUUAUUGCUUCACUUGUUCACAAAUCAUAAGUGAAGGAUUUUUUUUUUUUUCAUUUGACCCUAUAUAACUUGGUUUAUGGCCGAUGCGUUGCUUUCUUUCCUGUAAAAAAGCUGGUUGAAUAGUUCCAUAACUAGAUGAAAACUAGGGCUUUAGGCUCGUCUCCAAUCGAAUCGAAUCCCCAGAAGAAGCUAGAUGGAGAUCCCUUACUCAUUAACUGAAAAUACCGUUUUGUUAACACAAAAAAACUGAAAAUACCGUACGGCCAUAAUUUUCUAUUUCUUACUCAAAUUUCAGAGUACUGCAAGCAUCCGAGGGUUACCCGCAACCCUAUAGCAAGUGAACAGUUUGGUAGGGGAUGCAAGUGUUCCGCACAUCCUCUGCAAGGGCUUCACUUUCUAAGCAGCUUCCCCCUUAUAGAGAAGGGAUCAUAGGGACUUCUUACUUUUAUUUAGUUCAUACAUGCAUUGCAUGUUAGGCUUGCCCUCACUAAGUUAGCACUUAUGGUAUGUUUAUUUAUUGGGUUAUUUGUAGUAAUGGUCCCUUAACUAUACUCGAAGUUGCACUUUGGUCACUCAACUCAAAUAUUAGUUGCAGAGGUCACUCAAUUGGGUGUUGUGUUGCACCAUUAGUUCCUACCGUCAAGUUUCUCUAACGGUAGGGACUAAUAGUGCAACACAACACCUAAUUGAGUGACCUCUAUAACUAUUUUUUAGAGUUGAGUGACCAAAAUGCAACUCUGAGUAUAAUUGAGGGAUCAUUGCUACAAAUAAUUCUAACUGAAAAGUCACAUUUGCCCAUCAAUAAUCUAAGAUAUGCUUGUCACGUCAUCAUUUUAAACAGAAAAAGUCACAGACUUGACGGUAGGGACUAAUGGUGUAACACAACACCCAAUUGAGUGACCUCUGCAACUAAUAUUUGAGUUGAGUGACCAAAGUGUAAGUUCAAGUAUAGUUGAGGGAUCAUUGCUACGAAUAACUCUUACUUAUUUGAAAUGGGAAAAGUCGUGAAUUGGGAAGUUACGAAUAGGGGAGAGGAUGAAUGGGUAUGGGAUCAACUACUCCCUCCUAAUCAAUCUAAUUUUUGGUUUUUCUGGUAUUGAAUUAAGAAUUUUAAAUUAAGAAUUUUAAUGUGGAAAUGACAUAAAUUUUAUUAUUUUAUAUGUUAGUAUGAAGUCAAGGAUUUGAAUAAUUUCAAUACCUAUGCGCUAGUAAACACAUGGAAAGUCAGUGAAAUAAUUCCUAUACCCAUGAUUCAUCCUGUUAGUUAUUCAAGCGUGUUGUUGGAUAUGCCAGUACUAAAAAGAGAGAGGGAAAUGGGGCUUGGCCGUUUUAGAAGCAUAAACAAGCAUGAAUGUUUUGCAUGUAUUUCUAUUUGAAGUCUCUCAAUAUAAAGCGCCAUCUCUAUCAGCCCAAAAGAUCGCUUCAAAGUGCCAUAUCUUAUUUGAGGUGAGCUUGAAACAGGACCCUGCGGAAUGUGUCGCAGGACAGAAUGAUGAUAAAUUCAUGUGAAGAAAAGCUACGGAAGGAAAGCGGAUCAGAAUUGGUAAGCGAUCACGCAACAAAGAAAAACCGAGGUCAACCACCAUAAAAGGCAACAAGGCGUACCAUUAGGAUCUUCGGGUUUGCUUGAACAAAACUGAGCAAGAAAGAAAACUGACACCCCCAAUCACUCAAAACAACGUGAUCUUGCUGGAUCAAGAAGCCUUUUUUCACCAAGCUAAGGAAUGAAAACCUCAGGUUGGAUCAAGGGAAGAUUCUCUAUAAAGAGCAAAGUAGAGGAGGAAAUUGCAGUCUCAGGCUGGAAGACCUUCCAUAAUGGGAUUUUUAUUAUUUUAAUAAUGUUAUUUUAUAUUGUUUUAUAUAAAUAUAUUAGACUUGGUUGUUGCGAGUGCUUUGUGAGGAAAAACAAAAACUAGUGCUACACAUUACUUCAAAUAGGACACUGUAAAAAUAAACCAUACCUUCCUGUAUGCUGGUUGAUAGGCUUUGGUGCAAUCCUUUUUCUGUUCUGCUUUCCCUAUCUCUCUUGGUAGUUAUAAUCUUCAACUAACCACAAGACAGUUUCUCUUUGAAAAACUAUGCAGAUUGGUGUAGAUUUACAGCAUUUUGCGAGCCCAAUUCCCUCUUGUUUGUAUACUUCAAUCUUCAGUUGAGGCCAAUUUGAAGGAAGAAAUUGGGGAGAGAUGAAGAUAGUUGAAGCAACCAUGAAACCUUGGUUGGGAAGGAAGUACAUUACCUUUCAAGUUUGACAGGAGACAAUCCUUGGAAUAUUCGCUUUAUCUCUAAUCUACUUGCCCUUCAUUUGGCAUAGCUUUAAAUACAAGACAAACCAAA